UACGUAGGGUGCGAGCGUUAAUCGGAAUUACUGGGCGUAAAGCGUGCGCAGGCGGUGAUGUAAGACAGGUGUGAAAUCCCCGGGCUUAACCUGGGAACUGCACUUGUGACUGCAAGGCUGGAGUGCGGCAGAGGGGGAUGGAAUUCCGCGUGUAGCAGUGAAAUGCGUAGAUAUGCGGAGGAACACCGAUGGCGAAGGCAAUCCCCUGGGCCUGCACUGACGCUCAUGCACGAAAGCGUGGGGAGCAAACAGG
rnacentral:rRNA from 1 species